rnacentral:ncRNA from 1 species
UGAGAUAGAGGAUGCGUUAUGUCAUCAGUAGCCAUAUCAAGGCGAUGCAGUGCCGAUAUGGUGAAAGGGGCAGGCGCCGAAGCGGAGAAUCCCUGCAUGGAGAAUUCUGCUGGGCGGGCAAAAUAAGAUUUGUCUGACUGUCGCAAAGAGAGAAAGAAUUUGCGGAGAGCUAUCCU